UUUUAUAUAAAGAUAAGAUAUUGUUUGUUUAUUUCAUUUGAGAUUAUACAGCGUGGCGCUAAAAUGGUGACAUUAAAUUAACACGUUUUCACGUACGUUAUCACAUUUAACGUUGUUAUUUGCUGUUUUAUUUGGCGGGACACGGAAGAUAACAUGACAUCAAAGAAAUUAGAAUGAAUAAGCAAUACUUUAAAGGAAAGAGACAACGCGCGCCCUCACCACCGCGUCGCAGUGAUAUACAAUUUUAUGGCGCGGCCUCAUGGAGUCGCUCGUCGCUCGUUUCCAGCGUCAAAUGCGAUCACAUGACCCCAUUUUAAAUUUCCCGCGAUCCCGCGAGCGACGAGCGAUUCAUGUGGCUACGCCUUUAUUUAGCAUUCUCAGUGCCACAGAAUAUAUUAUAAUAUACCCUCAAGGGCAGAAUAACGACUCCAUACAAAUUUUACGAAAGAACAAUGUACCCCCGAUAAAUACGCAUUCCUAACGACAGUGUCGUUUGUCAUUACUGUUGGUUAUUAUACAGUCAAGUAAUACAACAAGUAGCUAUGCGCCAACUGAAUCAAUAGCGCAUCGAAAUAUUUGUGUUGUUUGCGGUCAUUCGUUGUACCGUGUAUGGUCUCACGCCUUAAAUAGCAGUUCAGAAAAAGAUUCUAUCAGACGCGUGAUAGAGCAACAGAUUGCACCGCUACAGCUAAGAUCAACAAGUAAGAUCUGUCACCCAUAUUGGCAAAGCAGUUACCGUUCUGUUCAACUAAAUUUGACCACACCAUCAUCAUCAUGUAUGCAUGAACCCUCAACGUCUGAUGUAUCAACACCAUUGGAUGUACACAGUGAGUCCUUUGUUGAAGAAAUUCAGCCAUUAUUGCAGUUGGCAACACCUAGGACAUCAUCAACAUUGCCAGCCCCACACGUCUCUAUGAUUGUCAUUGAAUUAUUGGAAUUUGGCCGGGCAUCACACACUCAGGCUCGCUGCUUUUUCCCUAGCUGCCGUGAACUUGAAAGAUUGAGUGUUCUGCCAAUCAGAUGAAGAUUGUUUUCGGAGUAUAAAUAUUGUGUGCCAGAAAACUGACGAAUUUGUUCUCACCAUUUAAAAGGAGCAACGACUGGCCAGAAUUGUUGGAAUCUGAUCUUAUCCACACAUUUACAUCACAACAUAUUUAUGACUUCACAGAAUUGAGACAUCAGCCCUCUAUUGACUUUGAAGAUGUCCAAAAUAUGGAUGACUACCUCGUGAAUCGGUUUGAUAUGAGCAAGGAACACUUCAAAAAGAUAUUAGAAAAGAUUCCACGGCUAGCGAGUAUGCACAGAUACUUAAUGAAAUUAAGAAAUGAUGACUCUGGAGAUCAUAUAAGUCCCUUAUUUCAAAUCCCUAGAACAGCAUUAGAAGGUCUAAUGGCAAGAGCAAGAGAACUUUUACACCAACAUUUUGUUCCGAGGCAUUUAUGUGAAAUCUUUUAAUACCUAAUGGAGUUUCUUGCCGGUUCUACUCCAUAAGAAUGACCAGACUCAUUAUUGUUAAGUUUUAAAAGAGCCUUUAAAUUGGUCUUUUUGAAAUAAAAACUUAUUUGGUGGCGCUGAAAAUGAAUGACAGUGGUAAAAAGAAAUUAAACUAUUCGAAUACUGUA